rnacentral:rRNA from 1 species
CACGCCGUAAACGAUGAGUACUAGGUGUAGGGGGUAUCGACCCCCCCUGUGCCGCAGUAAACACAAUAAGUACUCCGCCUGGGAAGUACGAUCGCAAGAUUAAAACUCAAAGGAAUUGACGGGGACCCGCACAAGCAGCGGAGCAUGUGGUUUAAUUCGAAGCAACGCGAAGAACCUUACCUGGACUUGACAUCCCCUGAAUGACUCGUAAUGGAGGAAGCCCUUCGGGGACAUUGGUGACAGGUGG